rnacentral:rRNA from 1 species
UACGUAGGUGGCAAGCGUUAUCCGGAUUUAUUGGGCGUAAAGGGAGCGCAGGCGGCGCGCCAAGUCUGAUGUGAAACCCCGGGGCUCAACCCCGGGCAUGCAUUGGAAACUGGCGGGCUGGAGUGCCGGAGAGGUAAGCGGAAUUCCUAGUGUAGCGGUGAAAUGCGUAGAUAUUAGGAGGAACACCAGUGGCGAAGGCGGCUUACUGGACGGCAACUGACGCUGAGGCUCGAAAGCGUGGGGAGCAAACAGG